rnacentral:tRNA from 1 species
AACACUAAAUCAUUUUAGAUGAGCUAGAUUGAUAUUCUAGAAAUGGGUAAUUCCCUAGUGUUG